CGUGAUCCGCCCUUCGGGGUGGUGAAAGUGGCGCACGGGUGAGUAACGCGUGGAUAAUCUGCCCGAGGAUUUGGGAUAACAUCUCGAAAGGGGUGCUAAUACCGAAUAAGCCCACGGGGUCUACGGAUCUUGCGGGAAAAGGGGGGGACCUUCGGGCCUCCUGUCCUUGGAUGAGUCUGCGUACCAUUAGCUAGUUGGUGGGGUAAUGGCCUACCAAGGCGACGAUGGUUAGCUGGUCUGAGAGGAUGAUCAGCCACACUGGAACUGAGACACGGUCCAGACUCCUACGGGAGGCAGCAGUGGGGAAUUUUGCGCAAUGGGGGAAACCCUGACGCAGCAACGCCGCGUG
rnacentral:rRNA from 1 species